rnacentral:rRNA from 1 species
UGUAUAAAAGGUAAAUACGCAAAAACGAUUAAGAAAGGAGCGGUAAGAGCCACGAGUGUCCUUGAACUCAUACACACUGACAUAUGUGGACCCCUUAAUGUUAAGUCUAUGGAUGGUUUUGGUUCGUUCAUUACCUUCACAGACGACUUCUCUCGAUACGGAUACAUUUAUCCUAUACGUGAUCGAUCGGAAGCUUUGGACAAAUUCAAAGUGUUCAAAGCCGAAGUUGAGAACCAACUAAACACUAAAAUAAAAGGUGUACGAUCAGAUCACGGGGGAGAGUAUUAUGGUAGGCAUUCUCCUUAUGGGCAAAUUCCAGGACCUUUUGCCAAGUUUCUCUCUGAGAAU